rnacentral:rRNA from 1 species
CCUACGGGGGGCAGCAGUGGGGAAUAUUGCGCAAUGGGCGCAAGCCAGAUGCAGCCAUGCCGCGUGUGUGAAGAAGGCCUUCGGGUUGUAAAGCACUUUCAGCGGGGAGGAAGGCGUUAAGGUUAAUAACCUUGUCGAUUGACGUUACCCGCAGAAGAAGCACCGGCUAACUCCGUGCCAGCAGCCGCGGUAAUACGGAGGGUGCAAGCGUUAAUCGGAAUUACUGGGCGUAAAGCGCACGCAGGCGGUCUGUCAAGUCGGAUGUGAAAUCCCCGGGCUCAACCUGGGAACUGCAUUCGAAACUGGCAGGCUAGAGUCUUGUAGAGGGGGGUAGAAUUCCAGGUGUAGCGGUGAAAUGCGUAGAGAUCUGGAGGAAUACCGGUGGCGAAGGCGGCCCCCUGGACAAAGGCUGACGCUCAGGUGCGAAAGCGUGGGGAGCAAACAGGAUUAGAUACCCUUGUAGUC